AUUGAACGCUGGCGGCAGGCUUAACACAUGCAAGUCGAACGGAAGAAGGGUGCUUGCUCCUGGAUCCAGCGGCGGACGGGUGUGGAAUGCCUAGGAAUCUGCCUGGUUGUGGUGGAUAACGUCCGGAAACGGGUGCUAAUACUGCAUGAGUCCUGAUCGAGAAGGUUGGGGAUGUUCGGAACUUUCGCUCUCAGAUGAGUCUAGGUCGGAUUAGUUAGCUGGGGGGGUAAAGGCCUACCAAGGCGACGAUCGGCAACUGGUCUGAUAGGAUGGUCGGUCACACGGGAAGUUGGACACGGUCCAGACUCCUGCGGGAGGCAGCAGUGGGGAAUGUUAGGCAAAGGUCGAAAGCCUGAUACAGCCAUGCGGAGUGUGUUAAGAAGAUCUUCGGAUUGUGAAGCACUUUAUGUGGGUGGGAAGGGCAGUAAGUUAAUACCUUGCGGUAUUGACGGUACCGGCAGAAGAAGCACCGGCUAACUACGUG
rnacentral:rRNA from 1 species